UCGUGUUGUGAGCUUCCUUAGAAUAAAAACAGCAAUCUUUUAUUCUUGAUCUGACCUUGACAGCCUGUUUUAGUAAGUGUGGAGUGCCUUUGACUUCUGUGACUUUCCAGGAAACUUCUAAACGAUCAGGUUUUUUUUAGUAUCUGCUCUAACUUGGUAAUACAUAUUUACAUAGAAGCUCAAACAAAACAAUAUGCCAGCUGUUGUGAAAAAGGAAUCAAAGUUGGGGGUGGGGGUGGGGAAGUUGUGCCAUGUUUCUUAAUUUUGCAGUAUUAUAAUUUCACCCUCAGUGAACAUACGGAUGAAGGCAGGAAAAUUCCUGCUAGAUCUGCAUGUCCUUCCUGCAUAAAUCUCUGUGCUUUCCUUACACAGGAUGGCCCUCAGUGACUGAAGCUGAGACUGAGAAAACAGCUGCAUUGUACUGCAGACUCAAAUCCUGCUACAGAAAUAAGCUGUAGGAUUCAAGCAUGAACUAAGCAGGAUUACACAGAAGGGAAGUAUAAUACUUGAUGUGAAUUAAAGGUAUGAAGAAAGACACAUUUCUUUCUAGACAGAGAUACAAAGAGAUCACAAGGAGUUCAUAAAAGAGGAUCUGAAGGCUGAGCCCAUGUUCUAUAAAAGCAAGUGUGAGGAGCUGGAGAGGUGGAGAGGAAUGCUCUAUGGCUAAGAAUCUGCUUGGGACCUCAGUUUUAGGGCAUGUGCCGUGUUUAAGCUUCCAUGACAGAGAAAUGAACAAAAUCUCCCUUGAGGUAACUAAUGAAAAUACCAAAGACUACCAAAACUGAGUAACCCUGGCAAAAUCCUAUUGGAGCCAUUGAUCAUUUUCAGGAUUUCCACUCUGUUGUACUAAUUGAAAGAAAACAACAACUGAAAAAAAAGCAUUCUCAAAGCUAAGUAGAUGAGAAGGACAUGAAAACUGUUUGUUCUGCUAAGUGUGGACUUGCUAUUUGAUUUACUGAUCGGACAGUGAUGAAAAUCAGGAAGGAGUGAAGCACAGGGAGCUACAUUUUGCCAAUUAUUUUAAUACGUCUUUGCCACAGCAGCCAUUGUGGCACUUACUUGAAUAAUGUAAGAUGAGAACAAUAGAUGUUUCACUGCUUUUAGGUGCCUGAGAGAUGACUGUAGUAGGAGCUUUGAUGGUGGUGAUAUCACAUAAGCUGGUCACAUUACAUAAACAGUUUCAAAGUAAUCCAGAUUGAUGUAUGUGUGCUUAAAAUCUUGUCAUUUCAUCGGAUUCUUUAGAGUUAUGAUUAUUAUUAUAUUAUUGACAGCACCUGAACAUCUACUACAGAAUAAACAGUGCAAUGGACCAACGGGCAAUUUUUUUUUUCUCUUUACUAUUCCAAGAGUUAAGUGUGUGUGAGGUCCAAAGAAGGUGGAGAUAAAUGACAUGCACAGGAAAAGAAGAUGGAGAGGGGUUUUGACCUUUCAUUGAGCAUCAGAAGUAAACUGACAUUUUCUUUGUCCAUGCCUAUCAUUGACAACACACUCAAAAACAAAACAAGAGGAAGCUUAACAACAGCACAUCCCACAUGAUAAUGGAGUUUUGGAAGGAGUUUUGAAAUCCUUACUGCCAAACACAGAUUAUUCUGCCACAAUAUUUACAACAUUUGUGCAAAAUUCUCUUUGCUUUCUCCAAUGACAGCUUGGUAUGUCAAACUGUAAAUUUUUAGAUAUUUAAUAGUGAAUGAUUUAAAAACUCUUCAUAAACAGAUACCAGUGACAAAUUACAUAAAAUAAACCCCAAACUGAAUUUUAGCAGAUGUAACAGGCAUUUAGAAAGAAACUAUUGAAAAUGUGUUUUUCUUUAUUUUUCUUUCCUUAAGUUAGCCGACAGCUUUUCAUGGUAAAACUGAAUAAAACUAACCGCUUAGAAUUAAAUUGCACCUGGAUUAGUUACAGAUGUUCAGGAUUAGUAUACAUAUAUAUGUGGAAAAACUAUUCUCAGUAUCCACUAGGUGGCACACAGUGACCGCCUUAAGGUCACCUUAUCUCCACAAAACCUCCCAUUCAUACAGCAGAUAAAGAACUGCAUUAUUAAUUUAUACCACUGCAUCCACUCUACACCUAAUAUUUGUUUAGCCAGCUGUUUCCUCUAAUCCUCCUUAAACGCUAUUGAUUGAAAUCCUGAGUAUAUUCAGACUUUUUUCCCCAAAGAACAUUUUGUAACCUACAAAUUACAAGCUACCUUUUCAAGCCCAGUACUGUAUCCUACAGUUACUAACAGUGGAGACAGAAUGUCUAAUACUUCCUCACAAGCAACAGAAGCAGCUUGUAAUAUGAAAAUUAUUUUUUUCCCCCCCUCAACUGUACAUUUCAUUUUUAGGGAGUUUUAAGUAAUGAAAUACACUGUCAGGUUCACAAUGAAAUGUAGAAAUGCAAAGUAUUUUAAAUUCCAAGGGCAGUUUAACCACUGCUUCAGUGCAACAGCAAAUGAAAAGCAAAUGAAAAUGAAAUUAUUAAUUUCAAUACUCACUCUUUAAUCCUUGCACAAAAUUGGAAAACUUUCAGUACAUUUAAAUGUAAGUAAUUACAAAGUCACCCUUCCCUUGAAGACCUCAAUCACUUUUUAAGCUUGGUCAAUAUUGUUUCCUGACUUUUACUGAGGGGCUGGGAGGUUAAGUGACUUGAUUAACUAAAUAUUGAUACCAGCUCUUCUGGCUCCAUACUGUGACCAACAGUGAACAACAAUAUUUCAUUUGCUCACAUUUCAGCAUAAAAUCAGAGAGACUGACGAGUUCUCAGUGCAGCAGAAAAUGCUUUUCUUGCCCUAUCACAAAUUGUAAAAACAAAGGUGCACUGCAGCAUGACAGAGAGUCACUACCCUUUUCUAAAGCCUCUCUCCCAGAACCCCAAACCUUUGCACUACCAUAAUUACUCUUCCUGUUUUUUAGAAGUUGCUAGCUGUUUUAGCCUUACUAACUGAAAUGAGAGGAAAAUGAGACUGAAAAUGAGAGGAAACCGAACAUUAGCUUCAUAAGGAAAGUGUGCUUUACUGUGAAUUACAUUGGCAGUCAGGUCUCUGAAUAGGACACUGCUAUAGAUAACACUUCUUCAUAAUGACAUGGACUUUUUUUCUCUUUCUCAUUAGAAUGUUCUUGAAGGUUAUUAGGAAAACUGGCCUUCUGGCAUGUCUUCAGUGCAGACCGGGAAUGUCUUGAUUAUUACCUUGACAGAUUUAUUAUUCAACUCAGAAAAGCUGCUCUUUAACAAACAAUUUUUCUCUUUUUGCUUUAACUGCUGUGUUUAAAACAUCACAAAUUAACCUUUUUUUUCCUUUCUGCUUUUAUUUCUUCUUUCAAAUUUCUCUUUUGUGCUUGUUACUAACUUUAAUACAGGUAAGUACACACAGGUUAGAUUCUCAACACAUUCAGAGCAAUUCCACUUAGCUGUUCUCUACAGGAGUUGAAGGUCUGCCACCAGUAGAUAUGAAAAAUGAAGGAAGCAUGAGCUGUCUGUGUAGCAAAAGGAUUUGGCAUUCUGUGUGAUGCUCAUUGGUGCGAAAACAGUAACUCCUGGUUCUCUCUGGAGAAGGAACUGGUAAUAAUUUUCCUGUUUAUGAUGCAUUUCUCUACAUUCUAUAAAUGCUCAAUCUUCAAAAAGUGUUUACUGAGAGGGUAUGUAUUGGUUACACAGACUUCUUGCACCUAUGCCUUCACUGUCAUGUUUCUUAACAUUUUCCUAAAAAAACCCAAUAGGUUUCUUUCUGUAUUUAAACACUAAAAUAGUCUUGCUAAUCAUUAAUACAAACUCAUUAUUGUCAGUAAUUCAUAGGAUUCUCCUGCACAUGGCCAAUUUUCCAGAGCCUCCUGCAGGAGUUAUAUCAAUUUAUGACAUCACAUAACAUAUAGGGAAAUAUAUUCUGACCUGAAAGAUCACUAAAACACUAAUUAAUCUCCCUUUCUAAUGAUAACAAUAGAUCUCCUUAAUUUAAACCCAUAAAUGCAUUCCAUCUAAACUUGCCAUACAAGCUGUCAUGCUAUGAAAAACAUUUUGAUUGAGACCUUUACAGGUAUUUGACCAAGAAGCAAACAAACAGGCAGUAAGAUGAUAAAGUUAUUAUAGUGAUUGACCAGCUAACUUGUAGAUAGCUACACAUUCAUAAUGCUCUGCCAUCCAAUGCAGAUGAAUGAGUCAAGAUACAGAAACCCAUGCCAAAUGUUGCUCAGACUUUCUUUGAUAAUAAAUAAAUAAAUAAAUAAAUAAAUACAACUUCAGCAUGUAAUUUAUCACACUUAUCAAAAUCUUUCUCCUUCCAAAUGGAAGGUCUGCACUUUACACAAAUCCACUUCCAGCCCUUGAGAUUCUUGUUCAGUUCAGCGUCCUUCUGUUCCUGCAUCCUAAAAACUUCUAAAAGCAUCUAACAGGGAGGAGAAAUUCUACAAGAAAGACAAAUCUCUGUGAAAUGUAUAAUCCCACAGGAGGAAGCUGUAGAGCAGAAGUAUACAACUUUUGUAUUUCAGACUGAAUCUGCAGUUGCAAUAUGAUCUCUCCUUUGGUAACACAGAGCACUUAAACACACCGAACUUAGUCAGUUUCAAUUCGUCUUUCACCCUCUCCCCCCCUUAGCUGCCAAACUAGAUUGCUUGAAAGUCCUUUCAGUGCAGCCCUGCAGCUGAUGCUAUAGUUGCUUACUGCGUCCCCAUCUGACUCAAAGCAAUAAAGGAGCAAAAACCUUUCCCCAAAGUUUGAUUAUUUCUUUACCUUGUGUGGAGCUCCCGAAUCAAGAUGCUCUCAGAACUCUCCAACAGUUUCAAGCAGGACAGCGAAGUGCAGAGGAAGUUUAUGGUGCUCACCUUAAGUUGGCGUGUGCGUGUGUGUGCCUAUGUCCCGAGUGUCUCUUUGUGGCUCUGGGUGGCAGAGGACCUGAUUCAGGGAAAAGAGAGCCACUUUCUCACCGAGAGGAAAAGAAAAGCAACACGUCAUAAGUUAAGUACGCCUCCAAGAUGUCUUAAUUACAGCUCAACGUGCUUUCCAUUCAGACCCCAGGAAUGAGAGGAAAAAAUAAACCCACACACGCGGUCUGUCUCACUCACUCACACACAGAGCGUCCCAGCACGCUGCCCUGUCCUGCUAGGUCCCUGCCCCAGCCUCCUUGUCCCCCAGCUUCUACCUCUCAGAGCUGCACCUAAAAAAGCUCUGCACCGCACACC